UACAGAGGGGGCAAGCGUUUGUUCGGAAUUACUGGGCGUAAAGGGCGCGUAGCGGCCGCCUAAGUCAGACGUGAAAUCCCUCGGCUCAACCGGGGAACUGCGUCUGAUACUGGGUGGCUUGAAUUCGGGGAGAGGGAUGCGGAAUUCCGAGGUGUAGCGGUGAAAUGCGUAGAUAAUCUGGAGGAACACCGGUGGCGAAGGCGGCGAGUCCU
rnacentral:rRNA from 1 species